GGUUAUGGCUCAAUGGUAGAGUGCUCGCCUCACACGUGUAAGGCCCUGGGUUCGAUCCUCAGCACCA
rnacentral:tRNA from 1 species